rnacentral:rRNA from 1 species
UACGGAGGGUGCAAGCGUUUAAUCGGAAUUACUGGGCGUAAAGGGUGCGUAGGUGGUAUGGUAAGUUAUCUGUGAAAUCCCUGGGCUCAACCUGGGCAGGUCAGAUAAGACUGCGAUACUCGAGUAUAGUAGAGGGUAGUGGAAUUUCCGGUGUAGCGGUGAAAUGCGUAGAGAUCGGAAGGAACACCAGGUGGCGAAGGCGGCUACCUGGGCUAA